GAGAUGGAUUGGUGCCUUCGGGAACUCUGACACAGGUGCUGCAUGGCCGUCGUCAGCUCGUGUCGUGAGAUGUUGGGUUAAGUCCCGUAACGAGCGCAACCCUUGUCCUUAGUUACCAGCACGUUAUGGUGGGCACUCUAAGGAGACUGCCGGUGGACAAACCGGAGGAAGGUGGGGAUGACGUCAAGUCAUCAUGGCCCUUACGGCCUGGGCUACACACGUGCUACAAUGGUCGGUACAAAGGGUUGCCAAGCCGCGAGGUGGAGCUAAUCCCAUAAAACCGAUCGUAGUCCGGAUCGCAGUCUGCAACUCGACUGCGUGAAGUCGGAAUCGCUAGUAAUCGUGAAUCAGAAUGUCACGGUGAAUACGUUCCCGGGCCUU
rnacentral:rRNA from 1 species